ACAGCUGAAUGAUUGUCAAUCUGAAGGUUUUACAUGACUAGCUGAGAGGAGGUGCAUGGCCGUCGUCAGUUCGUACUGUGAAGCAUCCUGUUAAGUCAGGCAACGAGCGAGACCCACGCCGACAAUUGCCAGCAGCAUCUCCGGAUGGCUGGGGACAUUGUCGGGACCGCCUCUGCUAAAGGGGAGGAAGGAAUGGGCAACGGUAGGUCAGCAUGCCCCGAAUUAUCCGGGCUACACGCGGGCUACAAUGGACGGGACAAUGGGUAACAACACCGAAAGGUGCAGUCAAUCUCCGAACCCCGCCCUUAGUUAGGAUUGCGGGUUGCAACUCACCCGCAUGAAUCUGGAAUCUGUAGUAAUCGCGUUUCACUAUAGCGCGGUGAAUACGUCCCUGCUCCUUGCACACA
rnacentral:rRNA from 1 species